GACGAACGCUGGCGGCGUGCUUAACACAUGCAAGUCGAACGGAAAGGCCCAACUUGCUGGGUGCUCGCGUGGCGAACGGGUGAGUAACACGUGGGUGAUCUGCCCCUAACUUCGGGAUAAGCUUGGGAAACUGGGUCUAAUACCGGAUAGGACAAUCGUUUAGUGUCGGUUGUGGAAAGUUUUUUCGGUUAGGGAUGAGCCCGCGGCCUAUCAGCUUGUUGGUGGGGUAAUGGCCUACCAAGGCGUCGACGGGUAGCCGGCCUGAGAGGGUGGACGGCCACAUUGGGACUGAGAUACGGCCCAGACUCCUACGGGAGGCAGCGGUGGGGAAUAUUGCACAAUGGGCGCAAGCCUGAUGCAGCGACGCCGCGUGGGGGAUGACGGCCUUCGGGUUGUAAACCUCUUUCGACAGGGACGAAGCUUUGGUGACGGUACCUGUAUAAGAAGCACCGGCUAACUACGUG
rnacentral:rRNA from 1 species